rnacentral:snoRNA from 1 species
UUAUAUGAUGAUUCUCUAUAUUCACACUGUACUAAAUGGUUUAAUUACCAUUAAUGACUAGACAUACACAAAAACUGAUUUAAUGACUCUGAAU